rnacentral:rRNA from 1 species
AUAGAACGCUGGCGGCAUGCCUUACACAUGCAAGUCGAACGGCAGCGCGGACUUCGGUCUGGCGGCGAGUGGCGAACGGGUGAGUAAUGUAUCGGAACGUACCAUUCAGUGGGGGAUAACGCAGCGAAAGUUGCGCUAAUACCGCAUAUUCUGUGCGCAGGAAAGCAGGGGAUCGCAAGACCUUGCGCUGAUUGAGCGGCCGAUAUCAGAUUAGCUAGUUGGUGAGGUAAAGGCUCACCAAGGCGACGAUCUGUAGCGGGUCUGAGAGGAUGAUCCGCCACACUUGAACUGAGACACGGUCCAGACUCCUACGGGAGGCAGCAGUGGGGAAUUUUGGACAAUGGGGGCAACCCUGAUCCAGCCAUGCCGCGUGAGUGAAGAAGGCCUUCGGGUUGUAAAGCUCUUUCGGCCGGGAAGAAAUCGUAUGGGUUAAUACCCUGUGCGGAUGACGGUACCGGCAUAAGAAGCACCGGCUAACUACGUGCCAGCCGCCGCUGUAAGAC